GACUCAAUAAAUCUCAUCCUAUAGCAAGUGGGCAAAGAAAGUGUCUGAAACACUACCACCUACCAAUCCUCUUAAAAGGAGGGGAAAAUCUAAAAAAUAGUCAGAUGUAGACCUACAUGCUAUCAUUUCUCAGAGACAAAGCCAGAGGCAAGAACAAUUUGAAUCUAUAUUCUCAUCAUUGGAGG